rnacentral:rRNA from 1 species
UACGGGGGGAGCAAGCGUUGUUCGGAUUUAUUGGGCGUAAAGAGCUCGUAGGCGGCUUGUUGCGUCGACUGUGAAAACCCGCGGCUUAACUGCGGGCUUGCAGUCGAUACGGGCAGGCUAGAGUUCGGUAGGGGAGACUGGAAUUCCUGGUGUAGCGGUGAAAUGCGCAGAUAUCAGGAGGAACACCAAUGGCGAAGGCAGCUCGCUGGGACGGUACUGACGCUGAGACGCGAAAGCGUGGGGAGCAAACAGG